AAUCAACGCUGGCGGCGUGCCUAACACAUGCAAGUCGAACGCGAAAGCCCCGCAAGGGGUAAGUAGAGUGGCAAACGGGUGAGUAACACGUGGGUGACCUGCCUUCGAGUGGGGGAUAACGUCCCGAAAGGGACGCUAAUACCGCAUGACAUCCUGCUUUUGAAAAAGCGGAGAUCAAAGCUGGGGAUCGCAAGACCUAGCGCUUGAAGAGGGGCCCGCGCCUGAUUAGCUAGUUGGUGAGGUAACGGCUCACCAAGGCGACGAUCAGUAUCCGGCCUGAGAGGGCGGACGGACACACUGGGACUGAGACACGGCCCAGACUCCUACGGGAGGCAGCAGUGGGGAAUUGUUCGCAAUGGGCGCAAGCCUGACGACGCAACGCCGCGUGGAGGACGAAGAUCUUCGGGUCGUAAACUCCUGUCGAGCGGGACGAACGCUGCGCGGAUGAAUAAUCCGCGGAAUUGACGGUACCGCUAAAGGAAGCCCCGGCUAACUCCGUG
rnacentral:rRNA from 1 species